rnacentral:rRNA from 1 species
UACGUAGGUGGCAAGCGUUGUCCGGAAUUAUUGGGCGUAAAGAGCGCGCAGGCGGUCGUUCAAGUCGCGUGUGAAAGCCCCCGGCUCAACUGGGGAGGGUCACGCGAUACUGAUCGACUCGAAGGCAGGAGAGGGUAGUGGAAUUCCCGGUGUAGUGGUGAAAUGCGUAGAUAUCGGGAGGAACACCAGUGGCGAAGGCGACUACCUGGCCUGUUCUUGACGCUGAGGCACGAAGGUCAGGGGAGCAAACGGG